CGCGUAGGCGGUUUGUUAAGUCGGAUGUGAAAUCCCCGGGCUCAACCUGGGAAUUGCAUUCGAUACUGGCAGGCUAGAGUAUGGUAGAGGGAAGUGGAAUUCCAGGUGUAGCGGUGAAAUGCGUAGAUAUCUGGAGGAACAUCAGUGGCGAAGGCGACUUCCUGGACCAAUACUGACGCUGAGGUGCGAAAGCGUGGGGAGCAAACA
rnacentral:rRNA from 1 species